rnacentral:rRNA from 1 species
AGUGAACGCUGGCGGUAGGCCUAACACAUGCAAGUCGAACGGCAGCACAGGAGAGCUUGCUCUCUAGGUGGCGAGUGGCGGACGGGUGAGGAAUACAUCGGAAUCUGCCCAGUCGUGGGGGAUAACGUAGGGAAACUUACGCUAAUACCGCAUACGACCUUCGGGUGAAAGAGGGGGAUCGCAAGACCUCUCGCGAUUGGAUGAGCCGAUGCCGGAUUAGCUAGUUAGCGGGGUAAUGGCCCACCAAGGCGACGAUCCGUAGCUGGUCUGGGAGGAUGAUCAGCCACACUGGAACUGAGACACGGUCCAGACUCCUACGGGAGGCAGCAGUGGGGAAUAUUGGACAAUGGGCGCAAGCCUGAUCCAGCCAUACCGCGUGGGUGAAGAAGGCCUUCGGGUUGUAAAGCCCUUUUGUUGGGAAAGAAAUCGUUCAGGCUAAUACCCUGGGAGGAUGACGGUACCCAAAGAAUAAGCACCGGCUAACUUCGUG